CACUGGCAGCACAAACAAACACAAUGUGCGUUAUUUAUUUCUCAAUAAGUUCCCAUUAUCGGCUGCAAAUGAUUCAUCCAAUGACUGGAAUAAUUAUUGACACGACACACAGGAACUGUCUCGGAGAGCGACUGACUCAAGGAGAUGUCUGAGCAGCAACCGUUUCUUCCGCCGUCUUAUAAGAAAUAACAACGCUACUUUCAAAGAGGACACAAGCUGUACAUAUAAUCUGAAGAAAAACUUUUAAAAACUUUCCUACCGAAAAGGCCAGAGUAAUUGCAGCUCAUGGGUUCACAUCACUACCCAGCAGAGGCAUUGCUAGCAUACAGGGCAGGGUAUAUGCCGAACACCACUUGCAACUAUAUAGAAGUUGAAACGUAUGGUAGUGCAAGGAGCCACAGCACCUGUUAUUUUACAAUGCGGGAACUACGGACAGAAUAUCAUCUUCCCAGCAGAGAUGGCACAAUGACAUCACUGCAUCAGUCUAUCUGUGCCAGGCCACUAAUUGUAAAUGCCAGAAGAGGGCUCAAUUUAGGUGGGUAUAAAAGUUUUUAUUUUUUAUUUUUUUAUCCAAAACCAUUUUUAUUUUGUUGGUGGCACAGACCACUGUUUGGCACUCAGAAGAAUUAUUACUUUUUAAGGGGGCAUUAUUACUUUUUAGUGUGCAG